ensembl:snoRNA
CCCCUUUUAAAAGCACUCAGUGGACCAUUUGCUAAUGACCCAUUGAGCCGUCCAAAAGGGGCAGAGCCAAAACACUGCUUUUGGGUGAAGUUGUAUUGUGUUAUUUUGCUUUAAUCAGUAAUGUAACUGCA